AAUUCAUGGAGAGGGCGCCAUCUUAACAUUCCUUUAAAUUUGUCCCAAGCUUCAUAUAAGAAUUCCCCAUUAUUUUGUCUGAAGCUUGAAAUGAGAUUCCUCAUGU